rnacentral:lncRNA from 1 species
CGACGCAAAAUCUGACACCCCGAGCGACACUUUAUAUUUUGAUGAAUAACAGUUUUAAAACCAAUUGAUUUUAACUAAGAAACUGGUAUUUGGUAUAAGUCAAUGAGAGGAAUACAAUUCUAUAUAAAUGAUACGGAGGGUAGCUGUGUAAAGUAGUUUUUUAUACCGAAAUUGGCAUAUAAAGCCUCAAAAUCUGCAACACGGAAAAGUAGGGCGAG